rnacentral:tRNA from 1 species
UCCCUGGUGGCUCAGUUGGUAAAGAAUCCGCCUUCAAAGCAGGAGACCUAGGUUCGAUCCCUGGGUUGGGAA